UUGCUUGGUGGAUCAGUGGCGAACGGGUGAGUAACACGUGAGCAACCUGCCCUGGACUCUGGGAUAAGCGCUGGAAACGGCGUCUAAUACUGGAUAUGAGCUUCUACCACAUGGUGGGGGUUGGAAAGAUUUUUCGGUCUGGGAUGGGCUCGCGGCCUAUCAGCUUGUUGGUGAGGUAAUGGCUCACCAAGGCGUCGACGGGUAGCCGGCCUGAGAGGGUGACCGGCCACACUGGGACUGAGACACGGCCCAGACUCCUACGGGAGGCAGCAGUGGGGAAUAUUGCACAAUGGGCGGAAGCCUGAUGCAGCAACGCCGCGUGAGGGAUGACGGCCUUCGGGUUGUAAACCUCUUUUAGCAAGGAAGAAGCGGAAGUGACGGUACUUGCAGAAAAAGCGCCGGCUAACUACGUGCCAGCAGCCGCGGUAAUACGUAGGGCGCAAGCGUUAUCCGGAAUUAUUGGGCGUAAAGAGCUCGUAGGCGGUUUGUCGCGUCUGCUGUGAAAUCCCGAGGCUCAACCUCGGGCCUGCAGUGGGUACGGGCAGACUAGAGUGCGGUAGGGGAGAUUGGAAUUCCUGGUGUAGCGGUGGAAUGCGCAGAUAUCAGGAGGAACACCGAUGGCGAAGGCAGAUCUCUGGGCCGUAACUGACGCUGAGGAGCGAAAGGGUGGGGAGCAAACAGGCUUAGAUACCCUGGUAGUCCACCCCGUAAACGUUGGGAACUAGUUGUGGGGUCCUUUCCACGGAUUCCGUGACGCAGCUAACGCAUUAAGUUCCCCGCCUGGGGAGUACGGCCGCAAGGCUAAAACUCAAAGGAAUUGACGGGGACCCGCACAAGCGGCGGAGCAUGCGGAUUAAUUCGAUGCAACGCGAAGAACCUUACCAAGGCUUGACAUACACGAGAACACUCUAGAAAUAGGGGACUCUUUGGACACUCGUGAACAGGUGGGUGCAUGGUUGUCGUCAGCUCGUGUCGUGAAAUGUUGGGUUAAGUCCCGCAACGAGCGCAACCCUCGUUCUAUGUUGCCA
rnacentral:rRNA from 1 species